AUUGAACGCUGGCGGCAUGCUUUACACAUGCAAGUCGAACGGCAGCACGAAAGAGCUUGCUCUUUUGGUGGCGAGUGGCGAACGGGUGAGUAAUGCAUCGGAACGUACCGAGUAUGGGGGAUAACUAUCCGAAAGGAUAGCUAAUACCGCAUACGCUUUGAGAAGGAAAGUGGGGGCUCUUCGGACCUCACGUUAUUCGAGCGGCCGAUGUCUGAUUAGCUAGUUGGUGGGGUAAAGGCCUACCAAGGCGACGAUCAGUAGCGGGUCUGAGAGGAUGAUCCGCCACACUGGGACUGAGACACGGCCCAGACUCCUACGGGAGGCAGCAGUGGGGAAUUUUGGACAAUGGGCGCAAGCCUGAUCCAGCCAUGCCGCGUGUCUGAAGAAGGCCUUCGGGUUGUAAAGGACUUUUGUUAGGGAAGAAAAGGAUAGUGUUAAUACC
rnacentral:rRNA from 1 species